AGCAGCGUGGCUCAGUGGAAAGAGCAUGGGCUUGGGAGUCAGAGGUCAUGGGUUCGAAUCCCAGCUCUGCCU
rnacentral:tRNA from 1 species